rnacentral:pre_miRNA from 1 species
GCCCUGCCCCCCCCCUCUAAUCCUUGCUAUCUGGGUGCUAGUGCUAUCUCAAUGCAAUGCACCUGGGCAAGGAUUCAGAGAGGGUGGGCU